CUUUGAGACAAGGACAUGCAUCAGCUCUUGGAACCCUGCAAUUUCCAGCCCAGUCUGAAUUCAGUUUUAGUUUAUCUUUCUGUGAUGUUCGGGAAAUUUACAAUGGUUCAAAAGCAGAAUGCCAAGAAGAGCAGAUGUCCUUUCUUCAUUGAUAGCAAUAUCCAUCCAACAGAUAUCCUGAUGGAGCCUGAAAGAAGAGCCUUAAGGUUUCUGCACUCUGUUGAUCCCCAAACACCAAGUCUCUGUAUUGGUGCAAACUGAACUUCUGUACUUUGCAGUCAUGCAGCCUCCUCACUGUCCUUGCCACCCGCAAGUAUAGAAGACCUUUAUCCUUUCUUCAGGAAGAUAACAAAACAGAAACAUACCCAUGAGGAGAGAAUCGCUUCCAGUAACAGAGCACUACAGAUAAGCAACCUAAAAUGUGUUGCACAUGCAGGCAUUAUUUCUGCAGGGCUUCAACUAAAGACUGGCCUGAAACUCUCCCGUGUAACAAAGAUUUCAACACAAAGAGGACACUCAAUGCAACAUAAAGCAUGGUCUUGGUGAAAAGCAGAGCAUUAUGGGGUAUAUGGGUGAAUGGGAGCUAAAAUCUAAAGAAAACCUAUCUGCUAAAAUAGUACAGUCAUUGGUAUAUAAAAAUGUGCAUACCAAAUAUCAUAUCUAUGCUGGACAAAAAGCUUAUCGUAAAUCUACUAACAAAGGCCAGACUGCAGAUUUGCAAACAUGAACUCAGAAGCAACCCCGAAUCUACAGAAAACUACAUUACCAUUCAUAUCUGUCAAAGAAAAAGUUCCAUAAAUAAUGAAGCACACAUAUACCUGGGAAUCUUCUGGGACUUUAUGAAACAGUAAAUCAAUUCACUGCCAAGUUUACUCUCUAGCAAUGCCAGAGUUAUGCAGUUUGUUGCUCAGGGUAAUUACUUGCCUUUGAGAUUUUGGGUUAUAUUGGAAAACAGACAAAUGAAAGAAAUCAUACUAUGGAGGAUUUUUAAUUGCCAUUAUAGAUAUUACUCACUUGCAAAGAAAAAAGGAAAACUAAGCAUUCAUGUACUGAAUUAC
rnacentral:lncRNA from 1 species